rnacentral:tRNA from 1 species
GCACUAGUAGCUCAAAUAGAGCACCGGCCUUGUAAGCCGGGGGUUGAAGGUUAGACUCCCUCCUACUGCU